CAUAGCGACUAUCGUGGCAUAUCAAUAAGCGGAGGAAAAGAAGCUAACAAGGAUUCCCCUUAGUAACGGCGAGUGAAGCGGGAAGAGCUCAAAUUUGAAAUCUUCAAGGUUCUACCUUGACGAAUUGUAGUUUAUAAGAAGUGUUUUCUGUUAGUGAGUUGGCUAAAAGUUCUUUGGAAUAGGACAUCAUAGAGGGUGAGAAUCCCGUAUUUGGUACCAUUCUCUCCUAACUUUGUGAUACACUUUCAACGAGUCGGAUUGUUUGGGAAUGCAGUCCAAAAUGGGUGGUAAAUUUCAUCUAAAGCUAAAUAUUGGCGAGAGACCGAUAGCGAACAAGUACCGUGAGGGAAAGAUGAAAAGAACUUUGAAAAGAGAGUUAAACAGUACGUGAAAUUGUCAAAAGGGAAGCGUUUGACACCAGUGUUGUUUUUCCGAAAAUCAAUUACGAAUGUUUUGUUUUUGAGGAGUUAUGACUUCAUCGGCUUGCUCCUUUCUUUAUGAAACUUUCUUAAUGCACUUUUCGGUUAACAAGUCAACAUCAAUUUCUUUUGUUGUAAAAGGGUAUGAGGAAGGUGGCUUUCUUUUCGGAGAAAGUGUUUAUAGCCUUGUGCCUCUGCAAUCGGAGAGAUUGAGGUCUGCAGCGUAGAUCCUUCGGGGUUAGAUACGUUUGUGCUAAGUUAUAGCUUUUCAUAGACAACUUGUUGACUAUGUUUAGUCUUGUAGCUUACUCGCUGACGCUAUUUUACCUACGCUUAGGAUGUUGACGAGACUGUCGAUCUC
rnacentral:rRNA from 1 species